rnacentral:rRNA from 1 species
ACUCAAAGGAAUUGACGGGGGCCCGCACAAGCGGCGGAGCAUGCGGAUUAAUUCGAUGCAACGCGAAGAACCUUACCUGGGUUUGACAUGCACCAGACGACUGCAGAGAUGUGGUUUCCUUCGGGCUGGUGUGCAGGUGGUGCAUGGCUGUCGUCAGCUCGUGUCGUGAGAUGUUGGGUUAAGUCCCGCAACGAGCGCAACCCUCGUCCUAUGUUGCCAGCGGUUCGGCCGGGAACUCAUGGGAGACUGCCGGGGUCAACUCGGAGGAAGGUGGGGAUGACGUCAAGUCAUCAUGCCCCUUAUGUCCAGGGCUUCACGCAUGCUACAAUGGCUGGUACAAAGGGUUGCGAUAUCGUGAGGUGGAGCGAAUCCCAUAAAGCCAGUCUCAGUUCGGAUUGGGGUCUGCAACUCGACCCCAUGAAGUCGGAGUCGCUAGUAAUCGCAGAUCAGCAUUGCUGCGGUGAAUACGUUCCCGGGCCUUGUACACACCGCCCGU